UACAGAGGUCCCGAGCGUUGUUCGGAUUCACUGGGCGUAAAGGGUGCGUAGGUGGCAUAGAAAGUUUGAUGUGAAAGCUCAGGGCUUAACCCUGAAAUGGCAUUGAAUACUACUUAGCUGGAGGUUUGGAGGGGGGACUGGAAUUCUUGGUGUAGCAGUGAAAUGCGUAGAUAUCAAGAGGAACACCAGUGGCGAAGGCGAGUCCCUGGACAACACCUGACACUGAGGCGCGACAGCGUGGGGAGCAAACAGG
rnacentral:rRNA from 1 species